GAGUCACUGCCUCUCUCCUUUUCUCCCUUUUUAUUUAUGUGUUUCCCCCCCCCCCCCACCACCUGGCUGCAGUCCAGGCCCAUCCUCACAGUGGGCCAGCCACAGAGAAAAGCAAACCCCGUGCCAAAUAACAUGUAAUAUGCUGCUUUUUGGCGCUGCCCACUUUCCAGUUCUGUGUUUUUGCAGAGCCAGCAUCACACAGGAAGACAAUGGGACGUUUCUCAAAAUAAGAAACAGCAGCACUCUGUGGUGCCGAGCAUCAUCUCUGGUUCAUGGUAGAUUGAACCAUCAUAUCGAGGCAGAAAUGUGAAGCCGCGUACCGACUCAAGAGGUCCAGUGUGAACUUGCCUGGGUGGGCAUCUUCUAGACAAGUCUCAACAUGCCAGGGAUGAUGUCCACACUCCAAAAAAAACACAAGAAUAUGGCAAAAGUAACCUUCUUGCUUUUGGGAGAUCCUACAGUACAAUCAGUGCAGUGAAGUCAGGGAGCCAAUGGAGAGGCCUUCUGCGGAUCGUGACACCAGAAAUGGCAAUCCCAAGACUCUCUACAGCAGGUUCCUGCAAGGGCACCAGGGUAAGGCAAGCACGGGUCUGAGAAGGGGCAACAUCCUACCAAGGGGAAGGUAUGGAAUUCUACUUACGCUCAUGCCCUCCAGUCAACUCAAAGAGCUUAACCCAGGAUGUCCGACAUUCCGGGGACCAUCUCACACAGUUAUCCGCCGAUUUAUAGUAGCUUAGUGCAAUUGCUGACCCUUCAACUCCAUCAAACGCUGCACCCAUCUUACAGUCUUUCAAAAGCAGCUACACAAUAGAAACAAUUUCGGCAGGAUCUGAGCCAAAGAGAGACAGUUGUGCUAUGACCUCUGGCUACAAAUCAUUCUAAAUUGCAGCUUUUUCAUUCCAGUUUUGUUCAUAUUCUGCUGCUACCGUGAAGCUCUCUUGAGGGACACCUCGUCCAUCAUUCUCUCUAAAGAUUGCAACCGGGCAUUAUCCAAAACCCCCCCAUCAUCUAAAGAUUUGUUUGUUUCCAGUAGACCUACUUAAGUCCUUGACCCAAAAUGCAUUACAGCACCCAGCAAAGUGUAAGGGGCCUUAGAUCCAUGGGCUGCAAUAGAAGCCAAGUGGGACAGAAAACCUACUGGAUAGUAGCUCUCCAGGACCUGAGUUGGAGAGCCCUGCCCUACAGCAUCAUCGGAUCACGCAUAACCUGUACGAGCUCCUCAUGGCUACAGGCUUUUUCUCCCGUUUGGCACAACAUCACCAUGCAGACUAAGCGGCAGCUCCAGGCCACUCAGCACAUGUCGAUGAGCUGGAAAAGAUCCAGUUAGAAGCAAAUGAUUCCGCUUCUAAAUCAAUCAAAAUAUGACCGAGAUCAAACACACACCACACCUGACAUCAGAACACAAAGAGUGGUGCUUCUAGAAUGAAUUAGUGUAGCCGUUACACACGAAACAUUGUUAUGACACAUUUUGAUGCUUCUUGCAGACAGACGGCAUAGCGCCAUUAAUACCGACAAAAAGCCCAUGACUUACCAGUCGCAUGAUUGUUGCAGAAAAAUGUGAGACCUAGAACAGCCAUGGGGCAAAGAACCGGUCAAACAGGCAUAGAGAUGGGACUGGGUUCAAACACAGUGACCUUGUAGGUACGAGAGCUGUGAAGUAUGACGUACGCGAUGAACCGGUGUUGACAUGUGCAAAUACUUAACCAUGUUUCUCCCUCAGGGUCCAUUGUCGGUAAUAGCUUCAGCUGAAAGUCUGGAAAAUCAAGCAACUGACGCUUUCUAAUAAACAGUAAUAAAGAAAUUCCUACAGAAUUUUUGGUUUCUCUGGAUUAAGGGGAAAUUCCCCAAAAAACACUAAACAAAUUUGGUUAUUCCUGUUCAUAGUUAUAUAACCUUAUAUGAAAGCCUCAAAUUGAUACUUAAUAAAAUUAGCAUUUUCAUCGCGCCAUGAAAAUCAUAACAUUUCACAGGCUCACUUCCCACCAUACACUUCACAGCCAUCUAGACCUCAACCACAAUCUUAUACUGAAGGCAACUGGAAAGGUAUCGGUAUCACAGACUACUGGAGGGUGGUGCUGUCCUUUUAAGUCUGGAUUGCAAUUAGAGGACAUAGGUAAGAUGUAGCCAGACUCUCAGCAUGACCCCCACCACUUGUGGCUGUUCUGUACUCCCACCCCCCAGGACCAAUGACCGCCAGCCCGCAUGCCUCAGCGUCUCUGGACUAUCGGACUGGUCAAAUCUAGCUAAAACUCUAUAGCGUCAAAUCAGACUCAGCAUAACCCUAAUUUGAAUUUAUUUACCUGAAUAUGAAUGUGUUCACUUGAACUUGAAUUUUGUUGCCUGAAUACCAGAAUCUGAUUUUGAAUGCAUCUACCUGAACUUUAAAUAAAGAAUGUUGCCUGCGUGGUAAUAAAACUUCAAGCUCGGGUUGUAAAAUUCAGGUUGAAUAAAUUCGGCCUGAGAAAUUCAAGUCCAGAAAAACAGCGAAAACAUCCAGGACACUCAAAGAGCAAACGAGCCUAGAUCUAAUCGGGUACAAUCCUGGCCAAACACAAGACAGGUCACCUGUCAUUUGGGAUCAGGUUAAAAACAAAUAAAUAAUCCAUAUGAUUACAAUCCUGAACUUGCAGCGUAGGGAACACGGUGACUUCCAUGAAAUGAAACCUAGCUGAAGCUCUGGCACUGAAACAGAAUGUUGAGAUCAGACAGAAACUCCCAUUAUAAAGAGUAUAAUCCAUGAGCAUUGCUGUGGUCCACUGAAUAUAUACAAGACAUCUGACUGCAGAGACACCAUAAGCUAGAAACCAUAAUUUUGCCAAUUUUUGGUGGUUUAUUGGAACUUUCAUCUCAAAUCUCUCUUGCAAACUCCUAAACACAUGGCAGUGGGCAGUCAUUAUCUCCAUCUUAAUCAGCAGCUCCUCAUACUUUAAUUCAUACACAUGCACAAAUUUUACACAGACACACACACACACACACACACACACUUCCUGGUCUGAUACACACACACAGGUUCUAUUAUUAUUCCUUAGCAAACCUUGCAUACCACAAUCCACAGAUGCUAUACUCCUGAGAAACAUUUCAGUUACUAGGCAACAUCAGAUAACUUCCCGAUAACAUGGUCGUGUUGCGCACCUUUACCGACUGCUUUACCCACAUGCUACUAAGUGUUGAAUUUCAAGGUUAUUCCGGACAGAACCAUCUGCCAAAUUAAAGCCGGCGAUCGGUGCCCAGAGGAAGAGGUCGUCAGAAUGCCCAGGACUCACCUGCAGA